rnacentral:rRNA from 1 species
GUGAGGAAUCUUCCACAAUGGGCGAAAGCCUGAUGGAGCAACGCCGCGUGCAGGAUGAAGGCCUUCGGGUCGUAAACUGCUUUUAUAAGUGAAGAAUAUGACGGUAACUUAUGAAUAAGCACCGGCUAACUACGUGCCAGCAGCCGCGGUCAUACGUAGGGUGCAAGCAUUAUCCGGAGUGACUGGGCGUAAAGAGUUGCGUAGGUGGUUUAUUAAGCGAGUAGUGAAAUCUGACGGCUCAACCGUACAGGCUAUUAUUCGAACUGGUAAACUCGAGAAUGGUAGAGGUAACUGGAAUUUCUUGUGUAGGAGUGAAAUCCGUAGAUAUAAGAAGGAACACCAAUGGCGUAGGCAGGUUACUGGACCAUUUCUGACACUGAGGCACGAAAGCGUGGGGAGCGAACGGGAUUAGAAACCCUAGUAGUCC